AUUAACAGGAAAUCCUUCCACAGCAUCAAUGUUCAGAUCUGUGAUGCUGACUGCCUUGUGAGCAAUUUAGAGGCAAAGUGGCCUGGCUCAGUGCAUGACUCUAGAGUCCUUCGGCUAGUCCAAUUUAUGAGAGACUUUCACAAGGUGAAUUCUCGGGUGUGCUGCUGGGAGAUAAAGGAUACGCCUGUGAGUCAUUCCUCUUGACUCCCCUUGCAGAUCCCCAAACCCCACCACAGCAGGCCUACAACCAUGCACACACCAAGACAAGGGCUCGAAUCGAGAUGACCUUCGGCCUUCUGAAAUCUCGGUUUCAGUGCCUGCACCACCUGAGGAUUUCCCUGGACAGGGCCUGUGAUGUUAUUGCUGCAUGCGUAGUACUGCAUAACAUUGCAGGCCUAAGAAAGGAGAACCCCCCCCCCGAGUGGCUGUUGAUGUUGACUGGAAAAUGCUCCCAUCUUCCCGGACAACAUUAAUGGCAGACUUGUCAGGGAGCAAUAUAUUGCAAGUUUCUUCACUUAAUUUUUGGAUUUAGCCCCUUUAUUUAAUAAAAGAGCUUUUCCUG